GACGAACGCUGGCGGCGUGCCUAAUACAUGCAAGUAGAACGCUGAAGAGAGGAGCUUGCUCUUCUUGGAUGAGUUGCGAACGGGUGAGUAACGCGUAGGUAACCUGCCUGGUAGCGGGGGAUAACUAUUGGAAACGAUAGCUAAUACCGCAUAAAAUGGAUUAUCGCAUGAUAAUCCAUUGAAAGGUGCAAAUGCAUCACUACCAGAUGGACCUGCGUUGUAUUAGCUAGUUGGUGGGGUAACGGCUCACCAAGGCGACGAUACAUAGCCGACCUGAGAGGGUGAGCGGCCACACUGGGACUGAGACACGGCCCAGACUCCUACGGGAGGCAGCAGUAGGGAAUCUGCGGCAAUGGACGGAAGUCUGACCGAGCAACGCCGCGUGAGUGAAGAAGGUUUUCGGAUCGUAAAGCUCUGUUGUAAGAGAAGAACGAGUGUGAGAGUGGAAAGUUCACACUGUGACGGUAUCUGACCAGAAAGGGACGGCUAACUACGUG
rnacentral:rRNA from 1 species